rnacentral:rRNA from 1 species
ACGUGCCCUUUGGUUCGGAACAACUCAGGGAAACUUGAGCUAAUACCGGAUGUGCCCUUCGGGGGAAAGAUUUAUCGCCAUUGGAGCGGCCCGCGUAGGAUUAGCUAGUUGGUGGGGUAAUGGCCCACCAAGGCUCCGAUCCUUAGCUGGUCUGAGAGGAUGAUCAGCCACACUGGGACUGAGACACGGCCCAGACUCCUACGGGAGG